rnacentral:rRNA from 1 species
AUUGAACGCUGGCGGAAUGCUUUACACAUGCAAGUCGAACGGCAGCACGGACUUCGGUCUGGUGGCGAGUGGCGAACGGGUGAGUAAUAUAUCGGAACGUGCCCAGUCGUGGGGGAUAACGUAGUGAAAAUUACGCUAAUACCGCAUACGAUCUAUGGAUGAAAGCGGGGGACCUUUGGGCCUCGCGCGAUUGGAGGGGCCGAUAUCAGAUUAGGUAGUUGGUGGGGUAAAGGCUCACCAAGCCGACGAUCCGUAGCUGGGCUGAGAGGACGACCAGUCACACUGGGACUGAGACCCGGCCCAGACUCCUUCGGGAGGCAGCGGUGGGGAAUUUUGGACAAUGGUCGCAAGUCUGAUCCAGCCAUGCCGCGUGCAGGACGAAGGUCUUCGGGUUGUAAACCGCUUUUGUUCAGAACGAAAAGGGUUCUGAUAAUACUUGGAGCUCAUGACGGUACUGAAAGAAUAAGCACCGGCUAACUACGUGCCAGCCGCCGCAGUAA